UGAAACUAAAGUUAUUUGCUUUUUCCUUGCCUAUGUCUGCAAUGCAAUUGUCUGGAAUGUAGCAAAAUUUAAUCAAUUAUCAUUGUUGUUACAGGACUUUGGUUUGAUUCUUAUGCUGAAACAAUGAAGUAAAGCUAAUUAAUAAUAACCAAAGGGAAACAAUUCUUGAUUAAGGAAGUUUGAAUGGGCAUGAGUGCCAUUUCAUCUGAAAGUCAAUUAAAUGGGAAGUUUCACCUUGACACAGUGGAAGAAGCAAAACAUAACCAUAAGAGAUGGAACAAGAGAUCCCAUACGCCCUAGACAGCCUUCUAAUGCAACAUUGCUACUCAGCUAGUUGUACUUAUUUAAUGAAACUAAAGUUUGGUGAACACAAAAUGCUUUAACACUUUGUUACAAAAAGAAACAAAGGAGUAAGCUAAAUCCAAAAAUUCUAGAGAAUUCCUAGAACCUUGGCAUUAAACAAAUUAGCCAUCAACAGACACAGAAAUAAGUCAUAUUACAAACCAAUCAAAAGAGAUAAUAAAGUAGCUAAGAAAAAGACCAGAUAUAUUCAUAAACCAGAACAUAUCCUCUCCAACAGCCAAAUAAA